GACGAACGCUGGCGGCGUGCCUAAUACAUGCAAGUAGAACGCUGAAGCUUGGUGCUUGCACCGAGCGGAUGAGUUGCGAACGGGUGAGUAACGCGUAGGUAACCUGCCUGGUAGCGGGGGAUAACUAUUGGAAACGAUAGCUAAUACCGCAUAAUAGUAGAUGUUGCAUGACAUUUGCUUAAAAGGUGCAAUUGCAUCACUACCAGAUGGACCUGCGUUGUAUUAGCUAGUUGGUGAGGUAACGGCUCACCAAGGCAACGAUACAUAGCCGACCUGAGAGGGUGAUCGGCCACACUGGGACUGAGACACGGCCCAGACUCCUACGGGAGGCAGCAGUAGGGAAUCUUCGGCAAUGGACGGAAGUCUGACCGAGCAACGCCGCGUGAGUGAAGAAGGGUUUCGGAUCGUAAAGCUCUGUUGUAAGAGAAGAACGAGUGUGAGAGUGGAAAGUUCACACUGUGACGGUAGCUUACCAGAAAGGGACGGCUAACUACGUG
rnacentral:rRNA from 1 species